rnacentral:ncRNA from 1 species
UCAAAAGCAGAGAUGGAGAACAAAAGUUUAUAAAGCGUUUCAGAAAGCUGGUGGUUGAUGCGAACCAGUACGAUUAUGAAUUAUAACUCGCUCCUAAGCUACAAGUCUGAAAGAGACAGUAAGACUUGUCGGUCAGUCCCGUUAUAGACGAUUGAUGUUAUAUGAUAUGACGUCAAGUUUAAGAGGUUUCAAAAUUGAGACAAAUAAGGUGGUACCGCGUGGAAAUAUCCCCGUCCUUAUA